rnacentral:rRNA from 1 species
GACGAACGCUGGCGGCGUGCCUAAUACAUGCAAGUUGAGCGCUGAAGGUUGGUACUUGUACCAACUGGAUGAGCAGCGCACGGGUGAGUAACGCGUGGGGAAUCUGCCUUUGAGCGGGGGACAACAUUUGGAAACGAAUGCUAAUACCGCAUAAAAACUUUAAACACAAGUUUUAAGUUUGAAAGAUGCAAUUGCAUCACUCAAAGAUGAUCCCGCGUUGUAUUAGCUAGUUGGUGAGGUAAAGGCUCACCAAGGCGAUGAUACAUAGCCGACCUGAGAGGGUGAUCGGCCACAUUGGGACUGAGACACGGCCCAAACGCCUACGGGAGGCAGCAGUAGGGAAGCUUCGGCAAUGGACGAAAGUCUGACCGAGCAACGCCGCGUGAGUGAAGAAGGUUUUCGGAUCGUAAAACUCUGUUGGUAGAGAAGAACGUUGGUGAGAGUGGAAAGCUCAUCAAGUGACGGUAACUACCCAGAAAGGGACGGCUAACUACGUG